AUGACAUGCUAGUGAAGUACAGAGAGGAGCUUACAAGGCCCUUACAUGAAGCAAUGGAUUUCAUGCGAAAAAUCGAAACUCAGCUUAAUAUGCUUGGUACUGGCCCCGUUCGGAUCUUCAACUCUGGUACUACUUCCUUUCUUCUUUCUCAUAAGCAUCAGCACAGGCGGAGUUACAGUUCCUCUUACGAGUUCGGCAAAAUUCAUUGGUUUUGAUUUCGAUUUUAUAUUUGUAUUAAAAUUUAAUUAAUAUAUACAAAUAGUUUAUACAAACCCAGAAUCAUAAUUUUGCCUCAUUACUACUAGUAUAGAAUAAGUGAGUUUAAUUUGUUCUUCAUCGUAAUUGCCAAGCAUGGAAAGAAUGAGAGAAGAAUAAAUAAAGGGUCUGGUUAAAGUUCCUUAUUUGAAUUCUUGAAGAAGAAAAGAAGAAAGAAGAUGUGUUGGUUCAUUUAAUACUGAGCCAAUGUCUGUGCUAUUUCCGUUCAAGACAGUUUUGAACCUGGCCCCGUUCGCAUCUUCAACUCUGGUACUAAUUACUUCCUUUUCUUCUCUCUCAUAAACAUUAGCACAGACGGAGCUACAGUUCUGUUUACGAGUUCGGCAAAAUUCAGUAGUUCCGGUUUAGAUAUUGUAUUUGUGUUAAAAAUUUAAUUAAUAUAUACAAACCCAUAAUCCAUAUACUCAAAAUCGUAACUUUGCCAGUUUGCCUCAGUACUAAUAGUAUAGAAUAGUGAGUUUUGUUCUUCAUCGUAAUUGCCAAGCAUGGAAAGAAUGCGAGAAGAAUAAACAAAGGGACUGGUUAAAGUUUCUUUUUUGAAUGCUUAAAGAAGAAAAAAAAGAAUUCGUGUUAGUUCAUUAUACUGUGCCGAUGUUUGUCUAUUUCUGUUCAAGAUAGCUUUGACCGGAAGCAGCAUUCUCCAUUUCCAAUGUUUUUCUGUGUAGAGCAAGAAAACCCUAUUAACGACUGUACGAGGGGAGUAAUAGUAUAUACUCCCUCCCUCCUAUACAAAAUAAGUGAUACAGGUUAAGAAAUACUACAUCUUUAAUUUUAGUAUUUAAUUUUUAUGUCUCACAUUAGCACUCUUACACAUAUUUCAAUACUAUUUAGUCCAACAACAACAACAACCCAAUAUAAUCCCAUUUCGUGGGGUCUGGGAAGAGUAGUAUGUACGCAGACUUCACCCCUACCCUGAGGUAGAGAGGCGGUUUCCAAAUAGACCCCAGACAUUAUUCCCUCCAAAAACUUACCACCUUGCUCUUGGAGUGACUCGAACUCACAACCUCUCGGUUGAAAGUGAAGGUUGCUUAUCAUCAGAGCAAUUCCUCUUGUCCAAAAUAUUAUAGAAAAAAAUAAUUAAUUCAUUUUUAAAAUUUGGAAAAGUUAUUUAUUUUAGCACAAAAAAAUACCAAAAAUUACUUAUUUUGGACCGAAGAAAGUACAUAUUUUAGUGUUACAAAAAGAUAAUAAUACAUGAUUUGGUUGCAUCAUUGUUGAAAAAGAGAUGGAUUGGUUGCAUUAUGCAAUAAAUAAAUAGAGAGACAGACAAAUCUUCCAGAUAUAAACAGUGAGGAAGCCACACGUUUGUUUCUCUAAUCUUCUUUAAUUUAGCUUUAGCUUUAUGGGUCCAAAUUUCCAGUAUAUUCUGACAAAUUCUUAAUGGUAAUAUUGUUCCCACUAGAUAAAUUCUGCUUUACAUGUAUAUGAUCUCUCUCUCACAAACACAUUUAUCAGGCACUCCACAGCAACUACUUGAGUCUUAUAGUUCGU
rnacentral:lncRNA from 1 species